rnacentral:rRNA from 1 species
GAUGAACGCUGGCGGUGUGCCUAAUACAUGCAAGUCGAGCGAACAGACGAGGAGCUUACUCCUCUGACGUUAGCGGCGGACGGGUGAGUAGCACGUGGAUAACCUACCUAUAAGACUGGGAUAACUUCGGGAAACCGGAGCUAAUACCGGAUAACAUGUUGAACCGCAUGGUUCAACAGUGAAAGACGGUCUUGCUGUCACUUAUAGAUGGAUCCGCGUCGCAUUAGCUAGUUGGUAAGGUAACGGCUUACCAAGGCAACGAUGCGUAGCCGACCUGAGAGGGUGAUCGGCCACACUGGAACUGAGACACGGUCCAGACUCCUACGGGAGGCAGCAGUAGGGAAUCUUCCGCAAUGGGCGAAAGCCUGACGGAGCAACGCCGCGUGAGUGAAGAAGGUCUUCGGAUCGUAAAACUCUGUUAUUAGGGAAGAACAAAUGUGUAAGUAACUAUGCACGUCUUGACGGUACCUAAUCAGAAAGCCACGGCUAACUACGUG